rnacentral:sRNA from 1 species
CUACGACACUCGUGCACUUCGGUUCUCGUGCGCCGUCCACACCCCCCUGACGACUGCUGGCCGCGUUUUGUUGACC